UGAUUGCUCCUGGACAGACCACUACUGUUUUAAUGACUGCAAACCAAGUUCCAGACUUCACAGGCAUGUUUGUCAUGGCAGCAAGGCCUUAUCUUACCUCUGUGUUCCCCUUCAACAACUCCACCACAAUCGGCUUCUUGAGGUACAAAAAUGCAAGGACCUGGAAAGGAAAAUCCCCAGUUGAUCCGAGCAGCCUUAGACUUCACAACCUUCCAGCAAUGGAAGACACUGCAUUUGCCACAAAAUUUUCGGACAAGAUUAAAAGUCUUGCAUCUCCUCAGUACCCAUGUAAUGUGCCUAAAACAAUUGACAAACGAGUGAUAACAACUAUAAGUCUUAACCUUCAAGACUGUCCAGAAAACAAAACCUGCUUGGGCUUAAAGGGCAAGAGUUUCUUCGCUUCAAUGAACAACCAAUCAUUCGUUCGCCCUUCCAUCUCAAUAUUGGAAAGCUAUUACAAGAACCUCACCACCAGUAGUUUCUCCUCUGAUUUCCCACAAAAACCACCAAAUAAUUUUGAUUAUACUGGUGUGCAUCCAUUGACUCAAAACAUGAACACGAAAUUCGGCACGAAACUUUUAGUACUGCCUUAUGGCACAAACAUAGAAAUUGUGUUGCAAGACACAAGUUUUCUUAAUUUGGAGAACCAUCCAAUUCAUGUCCAUGGUCACAACUUCUUCAUUGUUGGGAGUGGAUUUGGAAACUUCAACGAAGCCAGGGAUCCGAAAAGAUACAAUCUUGUCGAUCCUCCAGAAAGGAACACAGUGGCAGUUCCAAGUGGGGGAUGGGCUGCUAUUAGGAUCAAGGCAGAUAAUCCAGGAGUUUGGUUCGUACAUUGUCACCUUGAGCAACAUACUUCAUGGGGUCUAGCAACUGGCUUUAUUGUCCAAAAUGGUCAGGGACCAUCUCAAAGCUUGCUUCCCCCCCCUCAUGAUCUCCCCUCCUGCUAAUUAAUCGUCUUCUUAAGCUACUAGUCAAUGCCUCGCUGCAUUUAAUGUACUUAAUUACUUUUACAUGUUUUUUUCCUUAAAUUUUUACGAGUGCAUCAAAUAGUUUUGUAUGAUACAUAUAGUUGAAAUAUAGUUUGUGAUAAUUAGUUUGUGAUAAUUAAGUGGUUUAUAGAAUCAGGUAGCCAUCUCUGUUAUUUAUAUGAUUAAGGCAAUACAUGUGUUACGGUAUAACAUACUACACAUGAUAAGUCAAUAUAUCAAUAAUACAAUAAUUUCUAUUCUACAAUACAUUCCAUAAUACUCCCCCUCAAGCUGAAGGUGGGUGAUCCACAUGAAGCUUGGAAUGUAUAAGAGAAAAAAUAAAGUGAGAGAGUGGCUUUGUAAGGACAUCUGCUAAUUGAUCUUUAGAGGAGAUGAAGCGAAUUUGAAUCUCUCUUUUAGCUAUUCGAUCACGAACAAAGUGAUAAUUAACUUUAACAUGUUUUGUUCGAGCAUGAAAAAUCAGGGUAGCAUACAGAUAAGUAGCACCCAAAUUAUCGCACUAGAUAAUAGUAACAGAACUAGGAAAAAAACACAAAUUUGAUUGAAGAUAACGGAGCCAAAGAACUUUAGUAGUACCAUCAGUCAAAGCCUUAUACUCUAAUUCAGUAGAGGAACGAGCAACAGUGCAUUGCUUCCCAGAUUUCCAUGAAAUAGGGGUCGUACCAAGAAAGACAAUAUAUCCACUAGUAGAUUUUCGAUCAUCAAUACUCCCCGCCCAAUCAGCAUCAGUAAAGCCAUGAAGUGAGAAAGAGGAGUCACGAGUAAGGUGGAGGCCAAAAGAGGACGUACCUUUCAAGUAGCGCAUGAUACGUUUAACAGCAGCCCAAUAGGUCUCAGUAGAAGCAUGCAUAAACUGAUAGACCCUAUUUACAGCAUAACAGAUGUCUGGUCUAGUAAACGUGAGAUAUUGAAGAGCACCAAUAAUUUUUCUGGUCUAGUAAUAGUUGGUUUAACCACAAAACUGAAGGUUUCUAAGUAAUCAUUGCCUUCCUGUUGAGUGAACCCUCGCGUAACCAAGCGAGCUUUGUAGCGAUCAAUAGCACCAUCAGCUUAGCGUUUAAUUUUGUACACCCACCGGCAGCCAACCACAUUCAUUGAGGGAUCAAAUGGUACCAAGGACCAAGUAUCAUUGACAUGUAAAGCUGCAAUUUCAGAGUUCAUAACAAUAUGCCAGCAUAUAAAAUGGCCAGCCUCUUUAAAAUUAAGAGGCUCGAGAGUGGGAGGAGACAUUACACGUGGGAUUGAAGUCUGUGAUGAGGAAAUAGAGACCACAGUGGUGUUGAUUGUACUGUCUAGGACGCACACCAUGUGGUGCUGGAGAAGCAGGGGACCUGACAAGGGAUGUCUGUCGUGGAAGAGAGUACCUAGAAAGAUCAACACAGAGUUCCAGACCUGGUAGAGACCGAGUAGACGAUCUGAGUGGAAAGGUAGAGUUGUAUAAUUGUGUUGGAGAGACAACAGUUAGGGGAGAAGCAAGCACAGAUAAUGUCGGUGUUGCAGACCCUUUACCUGCACAAUGAUUAAAAGAUAUGAAGGCAGAUGGUGGUAAGGGGUCAGAGGGUGCAAGUGGUGUGGCUGAUGGGGUUGUGGUUGAAAACAAUGGUGAGGGAGGGGAGGUGGGUGACAGUGGUAAGCGGAUGGGUAUGGCUGGUGGAUGCAAGAAUAUUGGCAGACUCCAGAAACAGAAAGAAUUGUUCAUGAAAUUGAACACGACGAGAGAUGUAGAUACGAUUAGACGAUAAAUCGAGACAACAAUAUCCUAGAUGAGAUGAAUUGUAGCUUAAAAACACACAUAGAGUGGAGAUAUAGUCUAACUUAUGAGCAUUAUAAGGUCAAAGAAAGGGAAAAUAUAGACACCUGAAAGUACAUAAGUAGGCAUAAUUAGGCGCCUAAUGAAACAGACAUUCAAAAGGAGAUUUGUUGUAUAAAACAAGUGUGGCAUAUGAUUAAUGAGGUAAACAGAGGUUUCAAAAGCAUAUGUCCAAAAUUUUAAAGGUGCCUUACAAUGACCAAGAAGAGUAAGACCAGUUUCGACAAUAUGACGAUGACGACGCUCAAUAGUGCAAUUAUGUUCAUGUGUGUAUGGGCAUAUUAAGCGAUGAUGAAUACCAAUGGUUUUAAAAAAAUGAAUUUAGUUUACAAUAUUCACCACCCAAUCAAUUUGAACAAAUUUGAUUUUCUAAGAGAACUAUCGUUCAACUAGGACUUGAAAUUGAUGAAACACAUUGAAAACAUCAAAUUUGACGACAAAAGGAUAAAACUAGAUAAAUUUUGUAUGCGCAUUCACAAAAAUAACAAAAUAUCAAAAACUAUCCGAAGAUAACAUAGGAGCAGGGCCCCAAACAUCACUAAAAACAAGUUCAAGAGGAGCACACAUUUUAUGACCUGUAGGCCCUAAGGGCAGACAAGAUGAUUUUUCUAAUGGACACGCUUGACAUUGAAAAUUUAAAUGAUGAGAAGUACAAACAACCUUUUUAUUUGACGCUAAGAGAUUCAGAACACUAGAGCUUGGGUGACUGAGUUGACGAUGCCAAACAUUAGCAGAAGUGGAUUGAAAAGCUUGGGGCAUACACGUGGCAAAGGACUAAAAAAGAAUAUAGAGGCCAUAUUUACUCUGACCGAAAAGAAGAACUGUUUUGGUUAUGAGAUCCUUGAAAUAGAAAACAGAGAAAGUGAAACAAAAAAAAAACAAUUUUCUCGACAAAAUUGUUGAACAGAUAAAAGUCUUUUUUAAUUUGCGGAACAUGUAGGAUAUUAGACAAAGUAAAGGUUCGUUUUAGAGUAUGCAAAAUAUUGUGAGUUGUAUUAGAUAUAAUAAGUCUCUUACCAUCACCAACAUAUAAUUGAUCAUUACCGAGAUAAGGUUAUGCAUGAGUCAUACCGAUAAUGUUUAGAGUAACAUGUUGAUUCGCAUCCGUGUCAGGAAACCAAGUGAUAAAAUUUGCUGCUGAAGCAUCACUAAAGGAGAAGUUGGUCGAAGCUUGAUUCCCAUGAUGCACAAGCUGAGAACAUUAUUGUGCAGAGUGUCCAAAGAUGCUGGAAAGUUGGCAUCUAAUCUGUUGUGGCCACUAGUUCUGCCCUACUGGCUUCUACUGCUGCUAGUUGCUAUCAUAGUUACAGGUAUUCUGCUAAAAGAAGCCCCCACUAUUUCCACCGUAAGGCUGACUAUUAUAUUGGUUGUAGUUACUGCGAGAACGUCCCCUCCAACCUCUUCUUCCCCUACCUCGAUGAGAAGAGGAGUUGCUGCCAUUAAAUCCAGCAAAUGUACAUUGUGCAGCAUAGGCAGAUGGAGGGUGUGAAGGUGUGGGCAACAGUGAUGCAAUAGUUGGAAUGGAUUGAAGAGAGCUCCAAUGUAAAAACUCGUGCGUAGACAGGUGACUAUGGAGCUCAAACUACGCAAAAGGCUCAAUUUUAGUCGACAGACUUGUAACCAAAUCUUGAAAUUCACCACGAAGGCCCCGAAAAAAAUAAAGGUUGAAAUCAGUGAGGGAGAUCGGUCUGUCCACUGCAGUUAGUUUGUCAAAUAAUCCCUUAGCUUUUUACAGGUAGAGAGUGAAAAUAUCAUCAUCUUAACGAAAGUCCUGAAGAGAGCCAUGAAAUUGCAUAAUCCUAGAGUUGGAUGAAGAAGCAAGAGCAUGUUCUAAGGUACCCAAACACUAGCCGAAGUUGGGCAGUCCACCACAAGGUGAAGAACAUCAAUGGAGAGGGAUGAUAGUAAAGCACUGAGGAUGAGUUGGUCCUGUUGUUUCCAUAUUAGAAACACUUGGGAAGGACCAGCACUAAAGCUGGCAGAGGCGGUAAAGAAGUAACUGGAUAGGUCAAGUAAAGAGGGGCAUGAAUGCGAGCCAUCGACAAACAAGAAAACCCCUUGGCCAAACAGAUAUGACUUCAUUUGCAUACGCCAAAACAUAUAAUUAGAGUUUGUGAGUUUUAGGUUGAUGACCUGUUGUGUGUUUGAGAGGGGAAUAAUAGCUGCUGUCGCAGCAAAAGGCAGCAUGACUACGUUGAUGUUUGGAGAAGAUAUCUUGUCAUUGGUGAUGGGAGAAGAAGAGCUGACAUUGAUGCCAGCUGUAGCAACAACCGAAGGAUCCAUAUUGCAGAAGAUGAGUAGAGCACUUAAUUUUCUAAGUAGAAAGCAGAUAGACUACAGAAGUGUAGAGAAAUCGUUGGAGAGAAAUAGAUAGGAGACAGAUUUGUAGAGAAAUCGUUGUAGAGCAGAAGAAGUAGUAGCAAAUUCAAAUAAACAACAAAAAUUGUUUUAGAAUAGUAGAAGCAGUAGCAAAAUUAAAUUUCUCAAUCGGGAGCAGACCUCAACAGACCCAAACAUGCAUAAGGCAGAAGCUGUAAUUUAAGUCGGUUUAAAAACAAGAAGAAGGGAAAAGCAAACUGUAAUUAAUUAAGCUACAACACCAAUGCGUUCCAACUGCUAUUUGAAGGGAAGGUGAAGGAGAGGAAAACAUAAAUCUAUUUAGAUAAAGAGACUCUGAUACAAAGUUGAAACAAGGUUUGAGAUAAUUAAAUGGCUUCCAGAAUCAGGUAGCCACCUCUGCUAUUUAUAUGAUUAGGGCAGCGCAUGUGUUACGGUAUACCAUACUAUACAUGAUAAGUCAAUACAUUAAUAAUACAUCAAUAAUAUAAUAUUUCCUAUUCUACAAUGCAUUCCAUAAUACAUAUGUUAGUGAUACUUGUGAAUAGGCGAGUGCAGAAGAAUAAUGAAGUUUUGUGACUGAUAAUCGUAGUACAGCUUGUAUAAAUUUGUGGUUUUUGGGCGAGGCAAAGUAAUGCAGUGAGGCUAGGGAUUAUCCGACAAGCUUAUGUUUCAUAACAUUAUUUUCCUUUGAUUGUUUGAUAAUGUAUGUUCUUUUUGUGGGAAAAUGCUAAACUGUGCGCAACCACACACACAGACAGAGAACAUAAAAAAAAAUCAAGUUUACUGACAUGAACAUUCAACAAUAAGAAUUCAAUAAACAGACAACAAAAUUAACUAAUAUGCCCUGAUAUUCAGAACACCAAUUAUGGUAUGCAUUGAGGCAGCAUUCGGCGUUGUGGUAAGCAUUGAAGUAUUUAUGCUUUUUAUUUCUGAAACUUGAGAGGUCGAGAUUCAUGGGAAUGAGUCAAGGUGAUUCUAAUUAUCAUGAUAGCAUCUUGCAAAAUCACCAAAAUGUUUCAAAGAUCUGUGGGAAUUAACUAAGCUCUUAAAGUGUCAUGAUAGUAAGUUGAAAAAGAAGAGCAAAUGUGUGGAAGUGAUAAAGAAAUUUAAAAGUUUCUUCAAGGUGGUGGUAUCAAGACUCAAGAGUGAUUGUCCUUGCAAAUAUAUCUUUUUUCACUUUAAUUGAUUGCUGCCGGUUAGGAAUACAAUGCAUCUGGCACCCAUAGAACCAAAAAGAAAAUAUUUAUACUUUUCUUUGUUUUUUGAGCUAUAAUCUCUACCAUUGACCUUUUAUAUUCUUCUUCCCAUGGCCGUAGCUUUUCUGAAAACAUGUUCUUUUCUUGUUUUAAUGUAAGAAGAUUCAGGCUAGAACUUUAUGUCGAUGCUUUAUAUUAAUUUCAGCUCUUUCUAGCGUAAAAGGUAGAAGUGUAUAGUCUAAAAGCUUUAAGUGAAUGAAAAGAGCUUCGGCAGGUCUUUUUGUGUUGAUAAGUUUCUUGCCAGAGUCAAACUGACAUCAUUAUUUAUUUAUUUAUUAACAUGGAUGUCUGUGUCAGCUUGCGUGUACCUUAACUAAUCUUACGAGCCCUGAAGUUAAUAACCAUGUAAGCCUCAAGUUGCCUUGAGGUUUGUGUGACUCGAACUGGUGACUUUUAGGGAGCAAACCUAGGGUCUGACCAGCAAACUAACAUCAAUCUUGAAACAUGUGUAGCUUGAGGUGUUAAUACCUAUCAAAUACCGUCUUACCAUGUUUUUGAAAUUAUAUUUAUAUAUAUUAAUUAUUAAAAGCACCCCUAACAAUCUUUAAAUCUAUAAUAAAACCAAAUUAAAGAUGAUAAAAAAAACCGCUAUAAGAGAAUUAAGUUGGUUUUUUCAUUAAAAACAUCAAAGUAAUUACAAUAUUUUUAAAAAUUAAAAAGACCAAAACGUACCAAUCUAACCCUAUACAAUUUGUCAGCAUGAUAUUUUUUUUUAUUCUAGGGUUAAAUUCAUAUUUUUACUAUGCAAAAAACAAAAAUCAAAUGACCAAUCUAACCCUAUAUAAUUAGUAAAAAAUAAUUAUAUCAAGUUGAAAAGACCAUUUUAUCCCCAAUACCUAGUUAAAAAGUUUUUUGAGCUAAGAAAAUUCCAGCAAAUCACAAUUAUAAUGAAUAGUAAUUGGAGUCUUGGGCUACAAUAAUUUUUCAUUCACCUUUAGUAUUUUUCCAAAUGGUAAUUAAUUGAUUAAGAUGAAACUCGAAUUCAAAACAUUGUCUUAAGUUGGUGUAUAAAAGAGACUAAAACUUAAUAUCUUUUAUAAGAAAAAAACCAAUUAACAAAAACCUAAAAAGGUAUAGCGUAUGUAUUGUGCUUUCACUGUAUCUAUCGAGGGGAAACAUUAUGAAUUGUAAUAGCAUUUUCUUUUUUAUCCUUUAAUUUUAUUUCACUUUGAUCAUCAAAUUUUUUUUUUUAAUUUUGUCCUUGUAUAUUGUGUUGAAUGAGGAUUUAGCUUGAUUAUUUGUUUUAGUUUACUUUCUAAAAGGCUUUCUAAAUCUAAAUGAAAAUCUCGAUGUUGGAUUAAUGCUUGAUUUCAAAUGAAAAAAAUUAGUUUUGUUGCUUGAAAACAAAUUGGGGACCAAAAUUGACAAUGAGAGAGAUUCAAGUUUUUUUUCUUUCAAUAUUGUUUAAGGGGCAUUUCUUUAACAUUUUUUGCCUUAAAAUUUUUGUCAAAUUCAAUUAUGGUCCUUUAGUUUGAUACUAUUUUGUUUUGGUACAAAACAUCAUUUUGUUCAUAUGUUAGUCCUUAGGUUUGAGAGAUUCGAGAGAUUCGAGAGAAAAUCACUUUUAAACAAAUAAGAAGAGAGAAAGUAAUUGGUUCUCUACACCACAAAAACAAAAAAUAGUUGAUAUUGGUAUCAACAAGUUUCAUUUGAUGAGAUAAAUUUUAUUUAGUGUUUUUAACCCAUAAUAUCGCUUCAAAAUUUAGAUUGGGGCAUGUGAAUUCUUUUUCAUUUCAAGUUGAUUUUUGGUUUUCUAAUCGAUUAAAGGUUGUUUUAAGAUUAUCUAUGGGUUUGUUGAGGUGUAUAAGGUAUUUUUAUAGGUGGUUUUAGAUGAGAAAUAUGUUUAUUUAGGCACCAAUGAGUGGAGCUUGAAUUUCCUUCCACCUUAGAUGGCUAGAGGAGAAUUAAAAGGUAACGUGUAACCUGUUAUUUUUUUCUUAAAUAAAACAAAAGGAGGUGGAUUAUACUAUAAAGAAAAAAGGAGGCAUGACAUAUGGGCCAGACCUUGUCUGUGGGCUAAACACGUAUGCCCACCUAAGGCCACACAAUUUACUUGUUUUAUUGUUUGCUUUUUUCUUCUAGAAUUUUUUAAUUAAAAAACAUUAAAAUAUAUUAAUUAAAAAAUAUUUUAAUAUUUUUUUUAUCAAAUUCCAUUAAAUUUUCACUUUGUUAUUUUGACUUAGAUCAUAGCCUUUUUUAUAUAUAUAUUGGUGAGUGUUUUUUUUUUUUUUUUUUACAGUCCUUCAUAGGGUUAUUUAUUUAUUUGACCACUAUAUAGUUUUUUUUUUGAAUAGUUUUGAUUAAAUAACAUUUCUCAUAUUGUAACAUUAGAAAUAACUUUUUUUGUGCGGCCUUUCAUCAGUUUUUGUUUUAAAUUUAUUUGACCGCUAAAUUUUCUUUGGAUAUUAUUUGAUUAAAUUGACUUUGAUUUCAUUUUAUAACAUUAGUAAACACUUUUUUUGUGUGGCCUUUCACUAUGAGUAUUUUUUUCUUAAAUUUUAUUGGGUUGAUUUUUAUUAUAGUAUAAUCAAAUAAAAAAUAUAUUCCAAAAAGAUUAACAACGAAUCCUGGAAAGUUGAACUAGGUCCGAUAUGAGUGAUACAAUGAAAACCUAUCCCAAGGUAUCAACUCCAUUAGAAUAAAAACCCCUACUCGACGAAUACUAAUUUGUGAACGAGAAGUAUAAUGAAGACAUCAUGAAACCACUUAAUCUUUGAUAAGCCAAUUUAGUUUUUAAGAGAACUAAAUAAUGCAAGAACAUUUCUCACAUAAGUUGAAUAAAUUCGGAAGCAAUAGUAUUAUCAAUUCUAAAUAAAAAAAAGUGUCUUGCAUGAAGUUUCACUACAAGAUUUAACAGUUUUACCGACAGAAUUUUUCCGUCGGUGUAAGACACAUAUUCCAUCGGUAAUUAUAUUACCGACGGAAUCAAAGACGGAAAUGAUCCGUCGGUGAAUCGUUCGUCGGUAAUGUUUUGUCCGUCAGUAAAUCCGUUGGUAAUAGAAUUACCGAUGGAUUUGCUGACGGAACAGACGCGUCGGUAAUAAUUUUUUUAUUACCAACGGAAUUACCGAGGGAUUUACCGACGGAAGUUCCGUCGGUAAUUCCGUCGGUACUUAUUGAAAAACAUUUUAAAAAAAUUCAUUUUAUAAAAUUAUAAAAUAAUUAAAUUAACACUGUAUGAUAUAUACUCAAAAUGCUUGGAAAAAAAAUAAGAAAAUCAAUUCAAACAAAUUUGCAACAAAUAAAUAAAAUAAAAAAAUAAAUUCAACUAAAAAAAUUCAUAUGAAAAAAAUGAAGUUGUAAUUGCUAAAAAUUUAAAAAUCCUAUAAAUAAAUCUACUAAAAAUUGAUCUCAUAUGAAAAAAAAAUCUCACAACAACAUUUAUACAAUUAUUAAGAACAAAAAAAAUUAAAAAUAAAAUAAAGAACAAAUAUAGUGAAAAAAAUCAUGAAAAAAGAAAAAUCUUACCUUAAUGUAGUUGCAAGUGAAGCUAAGGAGAGAAAAAAAAUUUCAUUAAGCAUAUUAAUUAAAAAAAAAACUAAGAGGAUAAAAGAAGAAAGAAGAAGAAGACAUACCCAAGCAUGGAGGAAAAGAGAAGGAGAUGAGGAGAGAAAAGAAGAGAAAGAAAUAGAUAAGAAAUGAUGUUUUUUACAUAAAGUGAAGAAGAAGAAGAAGACAUACCUUAAUGAUGUUUUUUACAUAUAGUGAAGAAGAAGAAGAAGAAGAAGAAGAAGUAGAAGAACAAGAAGAAGAAGAAUAAUAAUAAGAAACGGGUUUGUCUCUUGUGAAAUAAGGGCAUUCAGGCUUUUUAUAGGGACGCUUUACCGACGGAUUUACCGACGGAUAAUUAAAUAUUAAUAUUUUUUAAUUAUUUCGUCGGUAAUUCCAUCGGUAAUAUUUAAUUUAAAUUUUCAAUCUCGUAAAAUUUUUUCAGAAACCGCCAAAAAAUUACCGAUGAUUUUUCAAUCCGUCGGUGAUUCCGUCUGUAAUAUUUAAAUGAAAAUUUUAAAUUAAUUGAAUUUUUUCAGAAAACCGCCAAAUAACACCGACGACUUUUCAAUCCGUCGGUGAUUUACUCUCUGGAAAAUACCGACGGAAUAUUUCAUCGGUGAUUCCCUUUGUAAUUAACAUGAUGAACAGUGUUCACAAUUUACCAACAAAUUUACCGACGGAAUCACCGACGGAAUUUAUUCCGUCGGUAAUUCCGUUGGUAAAAGUGACACGUCAUCUUUGUUUUAAUUUUUUUUCCCACGGUAAUUCCCUCGGUAUUUCCGUUUGUAUUUAUCAAUUUUCUAGUAGUGUUUUUAUACUCCAAAGAAAAAUAACCUAAUAGAUCUACCAUAGUGAACUGAUUUAAACCCAGUUUGUAUUUAUCAAUUUUCUAGUAGUGUUUUUAUACUCCAAAGAAAAAUAACCUAAUAGAUCUACCAUAGUGAACUGAUUUAAACCCACUUACAAAAAUGAUUCAAAAUAGAUUAUUAAACCUGAAAUUCUAAAAAAACUAUUAAGCCCAAACAAGUCUUGUGCUCUAAAAACAAUUAAAACCAAACAUAAGUUAAUUUCAAAUAAGCGUUGAGUUAUAGAUAAAAUAAAUAGGACCAACUAAGCCCAUAAAAUAACAAACCUAAUGUUUAAAAACCUAAACAUACUAAGACAAAAACCAAAGUUGCCGUGACUUUGGUGUUGGGGUGGUCUUCAAGUUAACUCGUUGUGCUAGGUCAGUUUUGACGCCACCAUCAAAGAGUUUUCCACAACAAUGCACAUCUAGUUAUUGUUCUGAUUUUUUUAAUGCAUUAAUAUCAAAAUUAUUAUAAUUUAUAAAAAAAAACAUAUAUUCAAGUAAAAAAAAGUUAAGUGAAAUAUAAAGCAUGGUGCUAAAAUAAAAGGAGAUUUAAAUUAAAGAGAAGUCUCUCUUUAAUAUCAUAAAACCAGACGAUAGGAAACAUUGAAUCCAAAACAACCUCUUUAGUGAAUUCAGUCCCUGGACUUGCAAUGGACUUGAUCAACACCUUAAUUGGAUUCGUUAAUAUCGUAAACUGAUACGCAUCAUCCAGUUUUGGCUGGUUAACUCGAGUUGAUUCAACAAACAUGGCUUUGUCUCAUUAUAUAAAAGGAAAGGGUUAUUCUAACUACACAAUCUUGAAAAAUUUUAAUCCUUGAUAUAAAACUGGGUCUUAACCAGGUCAUAUUUGAACCCGUCAGGUUGACUAUAUCAAAUCAGGUCAAGUUCCUCUUGGUCUAGUUUAAAACCUGAGCCAAGAAUGGGGUUAGGUUGGGGUGUUCUCCAGGUUAACUUGUUGUGCUGGGACAGUUUUGACACUACAAUCAAAGAGAUUUCCAUGGCAAUGCACAUCCGGUUUAUUGUUCUGAUAUUUUUUAAAUACAUUCACGUCAAAAUUAUUAUAAUUUAUUCAAAAAACAUAUAUUCGGAAAAAAAAAGGUUAAGUGAAAAAUAAAGCAUAUUGCUAAAAUAAAAGGAGUUUUAAUUAAAAAGAUGUCUCUCUUGCUCUUAUUUGAAAUCUUCCAUAUUUUUUGCGGGUAAGAUAAAAUAAAUCAUGGUAUAUUAUUUUUUAUGUUAAGUUUUUUUUUCCAACUAGAUCAUGGUUCAAUUUGCUAGUUAGUACUAAUUAAAUUACAGUUUAUUUAUAGUUUUUUUUUUUUUUUUUUACAUUCAAAGGAGAGCAAAGCUAUUGAAUUUCAAAGCCCUUUUUAGAAAUCUUUCAAGAUGAAGAUGACAUCUACACCAUGAUUUCUUUUUUAACCGGUAACGAUAUGGAAUUAUGGACGCCAUAUUGAGACAAAGCAAAAGGAAUAAGAGCUCUUGGAAAGACAGCAUAUAAGAAUUUACCCCUAAUCAAUAGAAAUUGAUGGAAAAGCCAUAGAUAUUUGACUGGUUCCAGCUCAUAUUUUGUUUGUUUUUUAGUUUCAAAAAUAUUUUUAAAAAUAUUAAUUUUUUUUUAUUUUAAAUAACGUUUUUUUAUAGUGGUAGAUUGUUUUAAUAUACUGAUGCUAAAUAUAAUUUUUUAAAAAUAAAAAAAAUAUAUUUUUAAAUAAAAAAAUACUUUAAAAAAUAACUAUUAUUUCAUUAACGGUCAAAAUGUUAUUAUACGCUAUUACACUCCCAAUCAAAAUGUUAUUAUACUUUAAUAUAGCUUGUUUUAAUCACAAGAGUAUGUAUUGUGCUUUUGUAAGAAUAUGCUCAGUACCAAUAGCAGCCACUAAUCAUCCCCAUCCCAAGCCCUGAAACCACCGUAGAAAUCAGCUCCAUUUCAGUUCAUAAAUCACACCAAAUAGUUCCCACUAUAUGAUUGACCGCGCUACGCUGUUGAUUAAGUUAAAUAUUUUUUGAACGAAAAAAAAAAAUUACAUGUUACUAAUGUGUUUUUUUCUAACGGAAAAAAAUUAAAUUCUAUGAGGAUUUACCUGAUGUAAUUCGGUUGACUUUACUGGUCAUAAAACAAUUCAUACAACCAGUAAAAACAAAUUUUGACUAAAUAAAAUUUCAAGAUGAUAUAUUUUUUUAAUAUUAAAAUAACAACAUAGUUGAUUGAUCUUGGACAAUCCGGGUUAACGUGUUAAAUCUAUGACCUAGGUUAUGAGACUAUAAUAAUCCUAUAGAAAGCAAAUCAAAAUAAAUUAUUAAGUCUAAUUACCAAUCAAUCCAAUGUUGAAUGAUGAAAUUGAAAAAAUUAAAAAAGGACCUAAAAAAACAACUCGGGUUAACAUGUCAAACUUGCAACCCGGAUCAUAAGAUCGAGAUAACCUCAUGAAAAAUAAAUUGAAAUAAAUUACAAACACUACAAGAUUUCACAGUUUUACCGACGGAAAUAUUCCGUCGGUCUGUGAUUAAGAUUUCAUCGGUAAUUUAUUUACCGACGUCUUCACCGACAGAAUACGUCCGUCGGCUUUCCUUUCGUCGGUAAUACCAUAGUCUGUCACUAUAUUGGUUGGAAAAAUAAAAAAACAUUUGCCGAUGGUUUUACAGACGGAAAUUGCGCGCCAAAAAAAAGUUUCCCGCUUGAAAUAUACCGACGGAUUUAUCCCGUCGGUGAUAGUGUGACAUACCGACGGAUUCAUACCGUCGGUAAAUUUGUCGGUGAGUGUUUGGAAUACCGACCGAAUAUAUCUAUCUGUAAAUUUGUCGGUAAUUGUGGCAGGCACUGUAAAAUACAGACGGAUUAAGUCUGUCGGUAAAGUUGUCGGUGAGUCUGUAAUACCGACCGAAUAUAUCUGUCUGUAAAUUCAUCAGUGAUGGUGGCAGCUACUGUCAAAUGCCGACGGAUAUAUUCCGUCGGUAAAACCCUCUGUGAUUAUUUUUAAAUAUGUUUUAAAAAAAGUAUUUAGAAUACAUAAUAUAAAAUUAUAUAAAUUAAGGGUAAUAAAAAACCAAUUAUGCAAAUAAAAUUUUUAUUAAACAUAAAAAAAGAAAUAAAAUUAAAUAAUAUUCAUUACAAACUGAAUGUGUUUUAAAAAAAAUGUUAAAUUAACUAUUAAAGUUAAAUAAUAUUCAUUACAAAUUAACAUAAUGGUGGAGCUGGAGGAGGAGGAGGAGGAGGAGGCUGGUUGUUGUACGACCAAAAAGGAGGGGGCGCACAUGUAUCACCACUAUGUGAUGCCAUGUUCAUGACAAAUUCGCGAAGCUGGUCAUGCUCCGCUUUUUGUUAUGCAUACAGUUGUGUAUGCUCCACUUUGAGUUGUGCAUACCGUUGUUCAUGCUCCGCUUUGAGUUGUGCAUGCUCCGCUUUGAGUUGUGCAUGCUCCGCUGAUAGGUGGUCGUAUUUUUCGGUGAGCUGAGCCGUGUAUUGCUGCAAGGCCACAAACUCCUUAGAUUGGGUGCUCGAUACUGUUUGGGAGCUUCCAACGGUUGAAACACUACGGGCCGCCCGCAAGUUCUCGGUCGUAGUGUUGGAGAGCCCGUAAACCCGAUUUUUAUCGGGUCCACCAGACGAUCCAACCUCCAUCCAUAAAUCCGGAUCGAGUUCCAGAAGGGUCAAAGGAUUGUCCCCAUAUCUCUCCCUCAACCGGCUAUUAUAUAUCUCUUGAAAAUAAAAAAAAAUAAUCAUCAUAUUCAAUUCAAUAAAAAUAAUAACUUACAAAAUAAAAUGGUUGAACAAACAUACCACAAAGUGUUGAGCACGGUUGUCAACGAACUGUUGCGCCCCCUUUUGGCGGUCUUGACUCCGCACGUGCGUCUCCACAAAUAGCUCAAUCGGGCUCGGCUCACGUCCAAGAGACGUAGCCUAUAAUGAAAAAAGAUUAAUUAACAACAAAUUAAUCUAACGAUAUAUUUCAUUUAAAUUAAUCUUACCAUCCGUUUCGCAUGUGCAGCAAACGGAACGGAGCCGCUGGUGUGCGUUGUCACCGGACUGUGAGCGUUGUGUGAACUGCUCAAAUGUCACGUGCUCAAGAUAGUGCAGCCAUAUAUCUUCCGGGAUGUAUAUCGGUUUGAAAUCCCUCCAAAUUGCCACGUCGUUCCAGCCUUGGAGACCCCUAUCUCUCGCCGUUUUUUUGCCUUUUUUUAUGAUUUAUACCAAAAAUCACGCAACCUACUUCCAUAGCGAGAAAUUAGAAGUUGAAAUUUUUUUUUUCUAAAAAAAUCUUGUAUUGUUUUCGAUGUUACCUAGUUGCCGCAUGAUUUUCCCACACCCUCCUCACAACUUUGUCAUGCGCCCUGUCCCAGGCGAAUUUGUGCUGUGUAUAAAUAAUUAGAUAAAUAAAAAUAAUAAUUUAUUUACAAUUAUAUUAAUAAAUUAUUAGAAAUAAGCUAGAAAUUAGAAAUUAACACCAACCUCAAAUCUGUUAAACCAUGAAUCGAUUCGAGGUAUCCAUUCAGGAUGUCUAGAUACCUGACUCUAUUGAAAUAAUGGAAUCUCCAUCGACGAUUUAAACGCCAAUGACAUUAUUCGGGUGGCCUCAAUGUUUGUGAACCUGAAAAUAAAUUAAAUUCAUGAAAUAUUGAUUAGUUGUUCAUAAAUUAUUUUGUAAUUUAAAAGAAAAAACUAAAACCUUAACAAACUUACAUUGAAAGGUCGUCCUUCCACUGUGCCUCAUACUUACGGGUGAACUGAUUCCGCUGCGAAGGCAUGCCACUUCUGCGCUGUGAACCCGUGUUGGAAGAGGCAGCAUCGGUUGACGGUGCAGGUGGCGUAGGUGCCUCUUCUUGAGAGGCACCUAAGGAUACGUUAUCCUCGCUGCUAGAAGAACUAGCUGCGACCAUACGUGAGCGACCAGCUUUGGUUUUCGUUCUACGCAUCUACACAAUUGUAUACAAAUAAUUAUAUAAUUAACUUCGAAUGUUAAAAAAAAUUCGACAGCACCUCCCCUAUACUAGAUACUACCCAAAUCCACAAACCUGUAAAUAUUGACAAAAGCCACAACCAAUUGACUCCAUCUAUACUAAUAUUAUAUAUAACAUAACAUCUAUACAUAUAACAUUCAUACUAAUUACAAGGUAAAUUCAACAUUAACAGCAUAUUCAAUCAUUAUAUAAAUACAAAUAAUAAAAAAUAUUCAAUAAAUUCAAAAAAAACUCUAGACUAACAAUUAAAAUUAAUGCAAAUAAUUAAACACAAAUCAUGCAAUAAUGUAGUAAAAUUACUAAUUAUUCCAACAUAUUCAAUUACUUAUUCUAAGAUACAUUCAACAUUAACAAUUACAAUUCAACAAAUUAUUCAAUCAUUAUAUAAAUACAAACAAUAAAAAAUAUUCAAUAAACUAAAAAAAAACUCUAGACUAACAAUUAAAAUUAAUGCAAAUAAUUAAACACAAAUCAUGCAAUAAUGUAGUAAAAUUACUAAUUAUUCCAACAUAUUCAAUUACUUAUUCUAAGAUACAUUCAACAUUAACAAUUACAAUUCAACAAAUUAUUCAAUCAUUAUAGAAAUACAAACAAUAAAAAAUAUUCAAUAAAUUCAACAAAAACUCUAGACUAACAAUUAAAAUUAAUGCAAAUAAUUAAACACAAAUCAUGCAAUAAUGUAGUAAAAUUACUAAUUAUUCCAACAUAUUCAAUUACUUAUUCUAAGGUAAAUUCAAUAGUAACAAUUACAAUUCAACAAAUUAUUCAAUAAUUAUGCCAUUACAACAAUAAAAUAUAUUCAAUAAAUUCAAAAAAAAAAACACUAUAGACUUUAGGAAUGAAACAUGCUUACCUUAAUAAUGUGUUGAUUUCAAGACUUUAUCUACAUUAUAAAAAUACACCAAAACAAAAAACACAAAAAAAAAAAAUAGCUAAAACAAAAAAAAAACCCUUAAAGUAAAUGAAAUAGAGGAAACACAUACCUUUUAAUCUGAUGAAGAUUCACAAGAACACUUGCUAGAGAUUGUAGGUGAAAGCCUUGAAGAAAUCAGAGGAAAAAAUUCGAAAUUGAAGGUAAAGAACGGAAGAGAUGAAAAAAUGAACUGAAGGGGCGGUCGCUGGGAUUUAUAGGGUAGUUUUACCGAUGGUAAAUAAAAAAAAUAUUAUUUUAAUUUAUUCCGUCGGUGACAUUCAAAAAUCCGUCGGUAAUUUUUGAAUUUUGCACCAACAUUUUUAAUUACCCUCCAUAUUUUUCGCGUUCCGUCGGUAAGUCCGUCAAAAAACUCACGCGGUCAGAGAUGCAUUUAAUACACCGCCCUUUGGAAUUCGCGCAGUCCGUCGGUGAUUUUGUCAGUAAUAUUAUCUGCCGACAACUUACCGACAGUCUUUAAUCCGUCAGUAAAUUCGUCGGUGAUUGUGGCAUUUCAAGUGAUUAUUUUCGAACUCUCUGUGAAAUGCCGACGGACCUUAUUCCAUCGGCAUGGAUGUCGGUAAUUAUGGCAUUUCAAGUGAUUAUUUUCGAACUCUCUGUGAAAUGCCAACGGACCUUAUUCCAUCGGUAUGGACAUCGGUAAGUGUACAAGAAAAAUUAUAUUUGUAUUGCCUAUUUACCUUCCUGCAAACACUUAAAUGAUAAACUGUCCAUCGUACAAAACAAUAACAACAGUGCUUAAACAAUACAUAUUUCGUGUUACAAAAUAUAUCAUCCAUAAUCUAUAUUAUAUGAAAAAAAGGGUUUUACAUAGGGCUUCAUUCUGAUAGUUAGUCAGAAUUUUCUUCUUCUUCAUCAUCAAUUGAAUAGUCAUCACCUUCAUCGCAAUCUUCAAUAUGGUCAUCAUCUUCAUAGACAUUUGCUUGUCCGCUAGAGCUCAAAACAACAUUCAACUCCUCUGCGUCAACAUCAACAAGACUAUCAUCAAAAACACGAAAAUUUGAUUUUUCUUCCAAGUCAAGCGAAGGAGUAACUCGAUAUAGUUCAACCAACUCAUUAACUUGAAAGACUUCAUCUCGCACACUUGUGUCUUCGUUCUCAUCCUGAACAAGCUCGACACGACCCCUGGGUUUCGUUUUUACAACGGACACCCAAUCCACUCUGGUUGAUCCUUUCUAAAAGAAGGGGUGCAUGUGUAAUAAACUUGUUGACAUUGCUUUGUGAAAACAAAGACAUCGUUUACGUUGCGGAGUCUAGCUUUUAAGUUGAUUUCAACCAGACCAUAGUGCGGAUCAACUUUGAUUCCUUUGUCACUCAUGUCAUACCAAUAGCAUUUGAAUAAAAACACUCUAUUCUGCUCGCUAUGAUAUUGCAGUUCGACGACCUCUUCUAAUAUACCAUAGUAGUCAACUUCUAACUCACUACCAGUCGAUCCCUUAACACAAACACCGCUGUUGUAUGUCUUUCUACCAUGUCCGUAUUCUUCAGUAUGGAAAACAAAUCCAUUGACAAAAUACCCGUUGUAGCACUUAACUUUUCUUUCAGGGCCUAGGCUUAGUGAAGACAAUGACUUAGCAGCACCCCUUCUCAUUUGAUAAACCUUGUAUAUAAUGUACAUCAAUGAACAAUAAACGAGAAUCACGUAAUGACAUGCAUACAAUAAUUUUUCAAGUGAGAAUGAGUUUGUGAUAGUGCUUUCAUGUGUUCUGAACCAUGUAGCAAAUUGUUCAUUUUAUAAUUGAAAGAUCUGGGAUUCGGUCAGCUGUGAGUUAUUGGACAACAAAUAUUGUCGAUGUUCCCUACAAGUGGUAAUGAGUGUAUUAUAUUACAAUAUCUAAUUAACAAUAUAUUAUUGACAAAGUUUAAUUAGUAUUACACAUAUAUACACUUACUGAAUAAAAGGCCUCAGCUCAUCACAUUUAAAUAGAACAUAAUUGUGUGCUUGUUUGAACUCUAUUUCUGACAAAUAUCUUUCUCUUACGACAUUUUUAGGUGUGGGUCGUCCAGGAUUGGAGAAUAUUGACAAGUUCCCACUAGAAGACACUUCACCGCCAUCAUUAUCCCGUGGAACGCGAUUGAUUCUCGUUCUCAGAUUAGGUUCGAAAUAGUACAAGAUAAAUGUUGAGAUCUCCUCAACAAUAUAGGCCUCACAUAUCGAAGCCUCAACAUGCGCCUUGUUCUUAACCUUUUUCUUGAGAUUGAACAAGUAGUUGCAUUGAAUUAAUCAAGUAUUUUCAAUGAAGAAAAACAAAGAAAAUACUUUUAUAUAUGAAUUACAUUGCAACUGUAAUAUGUAACCGUUCGAAUGGGUACAUCCAUCUAUACUGGACCAGUCAUCCAACUUUUGCCUCGAACGGUAGAUGUAUGGGGAGAUGCUCCAUUGAGUCAAAAAAUGAUGGAGGGAAUAUCAUCUCAAGUUUGCAUAGUGUCUCAACGAUAUUCGUUUCAAGCCUCUCAAUGUGAUCAACAUUCAACUUGCUGGAGCAUAAAUCUCUCAGUAAAUGACUGAUCUCCGUGAGUGCAUUCCAUAUCCCUUUGGAAACAAAUCACGAAAAGCUAAUGGGAUGAGUGUUUGCAUAAACACGUGGCAGCCAUGACUCUUUACUCCAUACAAUCUGCAUUCCUCUAUAUUAACCAGCCUUGAUAUGUUCGAGGCAUGUCUAUCCGGAAAACGCAGACUAUUAAGCCAUUUAUAGACUAGUAGUUGUGUGUUUUUCUCUAACACGAAGUUUGCUCUUGGUUUUGCGACCCGUGACUCAUCACAAACCAACUUCAUAUUUUUACGGUUACAGAACAACGCUACAUCCAAUCUAGCCUUGAUGUUGUCAUUUGUCUUCCCCUUCACAUCCAUGACAGUGUUGAAAAUGUUCUCAAACAUGUUCUUUUCAAUGUGCAUGACGUCAAGGUUAUGGCGGAGAAGAUUGGUCUUCCAAUAAGGAAGCUCCCAAAAGAUACUUCGCUUUACCCAAUUAUGGGUCAAACCAAAACCAGAGAACUUCUGCUUACCUGAUUGGAGACCAAAGACAAUGUCACCGUAUAAUUUUACAACAUCAUGCAAUUCUUCACCAGAAAGAUACGGGGUGCAACAUCCUUUUCAACUCUACCAACAAAGAAAUCUUUUCUGUUCUUUCUGUACCUAUGAUUAUGUGGUAAGAAACGACGGUGACAGUAAAAAAAGAAGCUUUACCUCUGUUUUUUAGCGUGAAUGCCUUGUUGUUUUCCAUGCAGUAUGGACAUGCUAGUUUUCCAUGCGUGCUCCAACCAGAAAGCAUUCCAUAAGCUGGAAAAUCAUUAAUAGUCCACAUCAAAGCCGCUCUCAUAACAAAAUUCUGUUUCCUCGAGAUGUCAUAAGUCAAAGCUCCAGAGGACCACAACUGCGUCAACUCAUCAAUCAACGGACGAAGACAAACAUCUAUAUUCCACCCCGGAUUGCUCGGACCUGGUAUGACCAUAGAUAAAAACAUGAACUUCGGCCUCAUACACAUCCCCGGUGGCAAGUUAUAAACCGUCAGUAUGACCGACCAACAAGAAUAAGGAGCUGCAAAUGACCCGAAUGGGUUGAAUCCGUCUGUACACAACCCAAGACGCACGUUCCUUGAUUCAGCUGAAAAGUGAGGAUGCACACUAUUAAAGUGUUUCCACGCUUCGCCGUUAGAAGGAUGCACCAUCACUCCAUCAACCGCCUCAUGUGAUUGGUGCCAUGUCAUGUGCCCAGCAGUCCUUGGUGACAUGAAUAACCUCAUGUCAUGUGAUUGGGAAGUAUCUAAGUUUUUUAUAUGCCACUAGAGUCUUUCCCCUACCAGUUCUGGGUUUGUAACAAGAAUGCCCGCAUGUCAUGCACUCGGUCAUCUCAGUAUUUUCAAGGUAGUAUAACAUACAGAAGUUAGGGCACAUGUAAAUUUUAUGGUAUCCUAAACCAAGGGGUUGCAUCAUGAACUUCGCAGCAUAGAAGUUCUCUUUCAGCCUGUUCCCUUCAGGUAAAAUGCUUCUCGCCCAUUCAAUAAUCUUGUCAUACCCGGCCUCACUCAACCCGUGAUCUGACUUGAUGGUGAACACCUGUGCUACAGCCGAUAAUUUAUUGUGGUUCGUGCAACCACCCCAUAAUGGUUCGUCAGAAUCUUUCAACAAAUCAAAAAACCUAGCUGCAUCUGCAUUAGGUUCUUCUUCUAUAAUUGGACAUUGACUGACAUUACCUUGAUUCAUUCUCAUUACAUCCAUAACCAUAUUCCUGUAAGGAUUAAUGUUGUCAUUUGCCGCUUCAUGCACGUUGCUAGCACUAGAAGUUGACCCAACCACCCUUUCUUCCAUUCUCCUCCUACUAACAAAUACUUCUCUGUGUGCAUACCAAACUGGUAAUUCUCCAUAAACCCUUUGUGUAGAAGAUGCAUCGUUACAACAUCUGGAUACAUAUACUUUUUAUUUUGACACUUCCUGCACGGACACCUAAUACCACCUCCAGUAAAAUUUCUAGGAAUAGAUGUUGCAAAAUUAAUAAAACCCUGAACCCCGUUACAAUAAUCCAUCCUCCGCAAUCCUUGGGGUGAAUCUCGAUACAUCCAUGAACGAUCAUCCAUGACUUCUAUCGAAUCUCUAUAAAAUUAUGAUGACAACAUGUAUUAAUUAAUUAACUAUGUUAGGUAAAUAAAUUUGCAAAAAUAUUGGUUUACCUCGAGAUUAUCCAACAAGCUAAUUACAACUUCUCAUAAAUUUUAUUAUCAAUUAUCAACGUCCAUACAAAUUAAUACAUAUAUAUCAAUUUACGGAAAUUACAACUCCGCCAUACCAUUGAUGAUAAAAAUUAAAACUGACCUAUUAAAUAAGCUAUUAAUUAUUUCAAAACAACAUAUGUAAUUCGAUAAUUCAAUAAAGUUUCAACAAUUUACAAACAAAUACAAUCUUACAAAAUCUAAAACAAACCAGUACAAGUAUAAAAUUAUACAUUCAUAUACUACAAAUUUAUUUGAGAAAUAACAAUAAAACAUGUACAUCUACUAACAAAAUACAUAUACUAAAAAAACAAUAAAAACCGUGAUAUUUAGAUGUUAAAAUUUAAAAAGAUAGAAUUACUUACAAAAACUGAUAAAAAUCCGUCGGUAAAUCAGAACACAGAUGUUGUGACAAGAAGACUUCAAGAUAUAUGACUUGUUGUGUUGAGAAGAGGGAGAUUUUUUUUUUGGGGGGGCUGGUUGUUUGCAGUUGGGGAGAGUUGAGAUGAGGAAGAAGAAGGAAAAAUAGGGGAGGAUAGGGUCGAGUGGGAGGAGAUAUAUUAACUUUUUCCGACGGCUUCACUAAUGGAUAUUUCCGUCUAUGACUCCAUCGGCUAAUCUGUCAGCAAAAAGGGCACGUCACCAUACGGUGCUGUCGUUUUGAAUCUGUCGGUUAUUCUGUCGGCAGUUUCAUCAGUGAAUCGGUCGCGUCACCAUACGAGACUGACGUUUUGAAUCCCUCGGUGAGUCCGUCGGCAUUUCCAUCGGUGAAUCGGUCACAUCACCGUACGGAGCUGAUGUUUUGAAUCCCUCGGUAAAAAAUACCCCCAAUAACCUCCACGUCAGCGAACCACCUUUUUUUUAAAAAAAUUCUCAACAUUCCGUCCGUAAUUUCGUCGGUAUAUACCGAUGGAUGGUGGCCGUCGGUAGUUACAGAUGAAAUUACAGAUGGAGUAAAGUCUGUCGGUAACGGCGACCCCAAAUUACCGACAGAAUUAUUCCAUCGGUAAUUCCGUUGGUACUUAGCGAAUUUCUGGUAGUGAAAUUUCAAUCCCUAUCUAGCCCAAUAUUGAAAGACAAGAUUAAAAAAAGAAAUCAAUUAAAAAAAUAACAUAAAACAACCUGAAUCAAUCAACCAAACCCAUGACCCGGGUCAUCGAUUGAGAUAACCUUAUAGGAAAAAAAUAACCUGAUUUAACCCGGUUUAACUUGUCAAAUCUGUGACUUUGAUCUUGAGACUAAGAUAGCCCCAUACAGAGAAAGUCAAAACAAAUUAUAAAACUCGAUUCUCAAUCAUCUCUGUCGGACCAAAUGUUGAACGAUGAAAAUUAUAAAAAUUUUAAUUAAAAAAAUGACAUAUAAAAAUAAGUCAAGUUAACCCGAGUUAACUGUUAAGUACUAUUACCAAGUCAUGAGACCAUGAUAACCAAAUGAAAAACAAACCAAAAUAAAUUAUGAAGUCUAAUUCCCAAUUAAACAUAAUAUUAAUUGAUAAAAUUAGGGGGGGAAAGUCAAUUAAAAAAAGAGAAAAAAAAUGAGUCAAUUAGGUUAAAAAUAGAUUAUGAACCUUAAUUUCCAACCGAUCCAAUGUUGAAUGAUAAUUAGACCAAUAUAACCUCUUAGAAAGAAAAUAAAGAAAGGACCUGAUUUAACCAGGGUUAAAAUGCCAAAACCCAUGAACCUGAUCUUAAGACCAAGAUAUUGUCAUAAAAAGCAAAUCAAAAUAUAUUAUGAAACUCAAUUCUCAAUCGACCCAAUGUCGAAUGAUAAAAUUAAAAAAAAAAUCAAUUAAAUAAAAGAUACAAAAAAUAACUCGAGUUAACUCGGGUUAAUUCGUUAAGCAUUAUUCUCGUGUCAUGAGAUCAGGAUAAUCUAAUAAAAAGUAAAUAAAACAAAUCAUGAAGUUUAAUUCUCAAUCAAAUUAAUAUUAAAGGAUGAAAUUGGAAGAACAAAACUAAUUAAGAAAAAGAAAAACAAUCUGAGUCAAUUGGGUUAACCUGCCAAACCAGGUUAACUCAUCAAACCUGAGAUCCGUGUCAUGAAAGUGUGAUAACUAAAUAGAAUACAAAUUUAAUAUUUAAAAACUAAAUUAGAAAAAAAGAUUACUAGAAACUCCGUUUUAACUUGAAAAUCCAAUCCAAGAACAAUCUAGAAAAGAUCAAGCUAAAAAAAGAUAAAAGCAACUGUACCGGCACGUGAAACACUCGCACCGCAAAUCCACUUGCUUCCGGUCAUUCCGCGUCUCAUUCACGCGCCACAUUGGCAAUCUCACUUCCAGCAAUUUCUAGUCGAUUCCGGCAGCUUUCAAAAGUCAUUUUUGGAUCCAAAACAAUUUUUUUUUGUUUAUUUUUGUAUAAUUUGUAGCAUGUUAUUAUUGAAUUUUAUGUGUGUUGCAAAAUAUCUGAAGUGAUAUGGUUUGCGUGUGGCAACCCUCAAGAAAUAAAGUCCCCAUGAAUUUAUUUUUUAGUAUGAUAAUGUUGGAAUUAAUACCCUCCAAUGAGGUUCAGGAUGAUGAGUUGCCAGAGGUGUAAUGAUAUUCCAGUCAACUAAUAAUGUAAAUGCAAAUAGUUUUCGUAGUUUAUUUUUUAUAUAAAAAAAACAGCACUCAAUUAUUCAUCUGACUAACAUAUUACAUUCACGGCAUGUCACAAAAUCGACUUUGAGCGGCAUUUUCUUAAAAGUCAUAGUAUAAAAAUCCUUUAAAUUCACCAGUCACCUUCUAAAUCGCCAUCAACUCAGUAUUCUCUUCUCCUUUCUAGCCCCCAACUUACAUCAACACCAAUCUUGUAGGACACUGCAACGAAUUUGUGCCGCCUUGACAAACCAAAAAUACUGGACUAGUCCACUCCUGGCUCGAUUCGAACUCACAUCAACCCACCUUAACUUCAGAUCUUUAUUAAGAAUCCAAUUAGUGUGCUAACUGACAAGGGUGUAAUAAUGAAAUUUCUUAGAGAAUAAUAGUAAUAAUGUUGGGUUUGAUGCUGAUGGUGAUCUUCGUUGCCAUAGAAAAGUUAAGCCCCAUCGAACAAAUUUGUGUGUUGGGCGAUGGCCACUAUUCACCUACCGCAGCAUCAGAAAAUCCUGUCCUUGUAUCGAAUUUAUAUAACUAAGUUUUAAAAUAUUAGAGAAUCGCAAACUUUCUACCUGUAUAUAUAUCUCCUGGGUGCGUGGAUGUUUUUUGUAACUUGUGCUGGCUGUUGUGCUCUAGUUCAUAGACCAUCUAGGAGUGGCAGCAAUGGAGGGUGUGCGCAAACAUUAUGGUAUUUUGCUAGCAUCACUAGCUAUAAUCGCCGCGGCGUUACCGUGUUGUUCUUCACAAACAACUAGAGGGUUUCAAUUUAAUGUAAGCCAUACACAUGUCUUAGAGAUAUUAAACCUCUCUUAGGAGCCUUUUCAACCAAUAUAUAUAUAGAUACAUACACACACGCAAAUUUAAUACAAAUUUGUGUACGUUUUUAGGUUGAGUGGAAGAAGGUGACACGUUUGCUUACACCUUCUAAUGGUGAUUAUGCAGUAUUCAUGCCCAACCAUAACUGUUUUAUGAAGGUUGUUAGAAAAUAAUAUAAAUCAUAUCUUGAAUCUUACCUAAUAGUUUAAGUUAUUGGGUUGAGAUAAUUCUUUGACAUGGUAUUAGAGUCUUGAUGACCAAGCGGUCACGAGUUCGAAUCUCACCAUCCCCAUUUAUUUAAUAAAAAUUAAACACAAGUUAAUGUGAGUUUGUGUAAGUUUCAAGUUCAAAUGAAUUUCACUUGAGGGGGUGUGUUAGAGAAUAAUAUAAAUCAUAUCCUGGGAUCUCACCUAACAGUUUAAGCUAUUAGGUUGAGAUGAUUCUUCAACGAAGGUGAUAGUAUUCAUAUUAAGGUCAAAAAUCGGAUUGCUCAAAAUACUACCCUUCAUUGGUGAGUUUGGAUUCAUCCUAGUCUAAUUCAUAUUUUCCAAUGUCCGUAUAUGCAAGUAUUUUUUAACCAUAUGCUAAGAGUGGCACUGUAUGCCAUGUUGUCAUCAUUUUGGCUGCAGCAUAUGCUUCUCUCAUUGAAAACAAACGUGUGUUUGAAAGGAUAGUAACUUUUGUUUUUGAAUUUUUUUUUAUAAAAGUAGAUAUAUCUUAAAAAAAUAUUAAAUUAAUUUUUUAAUGUUUUUAUUUUAUUUUAAUGUAUUAACAAAAAUAAAAUAAAAAACAAAUGUUAUUUUGAAGUAUUUUCAACAAAAUAUAUACACUACACACCAUAAUACCAAUUUCACACAAAGUAAUAACCCAAAAGAACCUUGCAGCUUUGGUGCAUAGGGAAAUGUAUCAAGUUCAAACCCUAAAAUGAUUGAUUAAAUUAUUGAACCGAAUUAUAGGGUAAGUGAGCGAUUCGGGUGGUUGUCUUAAUGAAUCAUUCUCAUCACCAGCAUCGUCAUUAUUACAAGAAAAUAGGAAGAGUUUGUGAUGUUUAAACGAUAAAACUAAGAUUAACACUAAUCACUAAGGCUCUUUCUAUCGACUAGUUGAUUCAGUAAUCUUGGUGGCCUUCCUGUCUUCCUCUCCCUUGAUUUUUAUUAUCUAAUAUAUAAUUCAAUUUAAAAAUUUAAAUUAUUAUAUAAAAUAUUAAGAUAUAAUUUAUAUUAAUUUCUAAUAUUUUUUUAAAUAAAAGUUUUUUAACUUAAAAUUUAUACAGAUUUAUAAUAUUUUAUAUUUAAUUUUUAUCAAAUAAAUAAAAAAACUAAGAAUCAAACUAAUCUUUAAAAUUAUGAUAUUAUUUUAAAAAAUCCAUUGAAAAAGAAUCAAGAUAAGAUUUAAAUCUACUGAUUAGAAAAAGCUGAGACGUAUAUAUCCAUGUGGUAUGACAACCGGCAUUUUCUUUAGCAACACAUGUAUUGGAGUUUAUCUGACACGUUUGACAAACUAGUUCAUGUUUGUGUUCGAAAUUUGAACGUAACAGGCAUGGUGUGAGGCAGCUAAGAACAGGAUGGGCUGAUGGACCAGCUUACGUUACCCAGUGCCCCAUCAGAGGAGGCCAGUCCUACACCUACAAGUUCACUGUUACUGGCCAAAGAGGGACACUACUAUGGCAUGCUCACUAUGCUUGGCAAAGGGCAUCUGUUUACGGUGCUUUCAUCAUCUACCCUCGCAUCCAAUAUCCAUUCUCACACCGAAUUCAAGCUGAAAUCCCCAUCAUUUUUGGUAAUGAUUAAAUGUUUACUCUUUUCAAAGAAGAUAGAGAGAGUCUAAUAUUGUUAGUUAAUUCUUGACGUGUUUUCCGUGUAAUAAAAUGCAGGAGAAUGGUGGAAUGGGGAUCCAGAUGAAGUUGAAAAAACAAUGCUGUUAACAGGAGGAGGGCCAGACAGUUCCAAUGCCUACACCAUAAAUGGAUUACCAGGACCUCUCUAUCCUUGCUCUAACCAAGGUAAUUGUAAGACCACUGUCUCUCUUUACAUUUCUUAGCACUACAAAAAAUGAAGAUGACCUGAAAUGGUUAAUUUGCUAAUUUUAUUUUGCAGAUACUUUUAUUCAGACGGUGGAAUAUGGCAAGACCUAUUUGCUUAGGAUCAUCAAUGCAGCUCUAACAAAUGAGCUCUUCUUUGCGAUAGCGAAACAUACGUUGACAGUGGUGGAGGUUGUUGCAGUCUACACUAAACCCUUCGCAACCACUUCCAUUAUGAUUUCUCCUGGACAAACCACUACUGUUUUAAUGACUGCAAACAAAGUUCCAGACUUCACAGGCAUGUUUGUCAUGGCAGCAAGGCCUUAUCUUACCUCUGUGUUCCCCUCCAACAACUCCACCACAAUCGGCUUCUUGAGGUACAAAAAUGCAAGGACCUGGAAAGGAAAAUCCCCAGUUGAUCCGAGCAGCCUUAAACUUCACAACCUUCCAGCAAUGGAAGACACCGCAUUUGCCACAAAAUUUUCGGACAAGAUUAGAAGUCUUGCAUCUUCUCAGUACCCUUGUAAUGUGCCUAAAACAAUUGACAAACGAGUGAUAACAACUAUAAGUCUUAACCUUCAAGACUGUCCAGAAAACAAAACCUGCUCGGGUUUCAAGGGCAAGAGUUUCUUUGCUUCAAUGAACAACCAAUCAUUCGUUCGCCCUUCCAUCUCAAUAUUGGAAAGCUAUUACAAGAACCUCACCAAAGGUAGUUUCUCCUCUGGUUUCCCAGAAAAACCACCAAAUAAUUUUGAUUAUACUGGUGGGGAUUCAUUUACUCAAAACAUAUAAUUUUGAUUCGGCACGAAACUUUUAGUACUGCCUUAUGGCACAAACAUAGAAAUUGUGUUGCAAGACACAAGUUUUCUUAAUUUGGAGAACCAUCCAAUUCAUGUCCAUGGUCACAACUUCUUCAUUGUUGGGAGUGGAUUUGGAAACUUUAACGAAGCCAGGGAUCCGAAAAGAUACAAUCUUGUCGAUCCUCCAGAAAGGAAUACAGUGGCAGUUCCAAGUGGGGGAUGGGCUGCUAUUAGGAUCAAGGCAGAUAAUCCAGGGGUUUGGUUCAUACAUUGUCACCUUGAGGAACAUACUUCAUGGGGUCUAGCAACUGGCUUUAUUGUCCACAAUGGUCAGGGACCAUCUCAAAGCUUGCUUCCCCCCCCCCCCUCAUGAUCUCCCCUCCUGCUAAUUAAUCGUCUUCUUAAGCUACUAGUCAAUGCCUCGCUGCAUUUAAUAUGCUUAAUUACUUUUACAUGUUAUUAUUGAAUUUUAUGUGUGUUGCAAAAUAUCUGAAGUGAUAUGGUUUGCGUGUGGCAACCCUCAAGAAAUAAAGUCCCCAUGAAUUUUUUUUUUUGUGUGAUAAUGUUGGAAUUAAUACCCUCCAAUGAGGUUCAGGAUGAUGAGUUGCCAGAGGUGUAAUGAUAUUCCAGUCAACUAAUAAUGUAAAUGCAAAUAGUUUUCGUAGUUUAUUUUUUAUAUAAAAAAAACACCACUCAAUUAUUCAUCUGACUAACAUAUUACAUUCACGGCAUGUCUCAAAAUCGACUGUGAGCGGCAUUUUCUUAAAAGUCACGAUAACAGUCCAUAAUUGUUAGCUACCUUGAGUGAUGAUUAUAGCAUACUGAUAUUGGAUCUCUAUCGGUGUGUAAUGGCGGUAGCUACCUUGAGUGAUUACGACAUAAACUAUUACAACACUUCUAAACACCCUUUAAAACACCAGUCACCUUCUAAAUCGCCAUCAACUCAAUAUUCUCUUCUCCUUUCUAGCCGCCAACUUACUUCAACACCAAUCUUGUAGGAAACUACAACGAAUUUGUGCCGCCUUGACAAACCAAGAAUACUGGACUAGUCCACUCCGGGCUUGAUUCGAACUCACAUCAACCCACCCUAACUUCAGAUCUUUAUUAAGAAUCCAAUUGGUGUGCUAAGGGACAAGGGAGUAAGAAUGAAAUUUCGUAGAAAAUAAUAGUAAUAAUGAUGGGUUUGAUGCUGAUGGUGAGUUUCCAUAGAAAGAAUAAUUUUAUGGAACAUAUUUUUUUUUGAGGAAAUUAUUGUUUCGUAAUUAUACAUUAGUAAGCAAGCACGGUUGGCUGGACUUGCACAAUUUGUCUGAACUUGGAACUCCGAAGCACUUCUUAUCAUUAUUAUCCUGUGUCAAUGGAGCAAUUAAUUAAGGCUUAAUGGUUAUGGCACUAUCCGAUGGUGUGCAGUCGUGUUUUUUAAAGAAGUUGAUUUUUUUUUAUUUAAAAUUAAUUUUUUAUAUGUUUUUAUAAUUGAUGUAUUAAUUCUAAAAAGAUUUUUUUAUGAAAUAAAAUAAAAUAUUAUUUUAAUAAAUUUUUAAAUAAAAAAAUAUUUUAAAUCAUAAUUACUAUCACAAUUCCAAACACAACACACUAUAUAUAUAUAUAUAUAUAUAUAUAUAUAUAUAUAUAUAUAUAUAUAUAUAUAUAUAUAUAUAACACCAAAGAAUUUUCAAUGUCUAAAAAUUUUCAAUGUCUAAAAAUUAGAGGAGGCCACUCCUACACCUACAAGUUCACUGUUACUGGCCAAAGAGGGACACUACUAUGGCAUGCUCACUAUGCUUGGCAAAGAGCAUCUGUUUACGGUGCUUUCAUCAUCUACCCUCGCAUCCCAUAUCCAUUCUCACACCCAAUUCAAGCUGAAAUCCCCAUCAUUUUUGGUAAUGAUUAAAUGUUUACUCUUUUCAAAAAAGAUAGAGAGACACAGACGAGUGUCUAAUAUUGUUAGUUAAUUCUUGACUUGUUUUAUGUGUAAUAAAAUGCAGGAGAAUGGUGGAAUGGGGAUCCAGAUGAAGUUGAAAAAACAAUGCUGUUAACAGGAGGAGGGCCAGACAGUUCCAAUGCCUACACCAUAAAUGGAUUACCAGGACCUCUCUAUCCUUGCUCUAACCAAGGUAAUUGUAAGACCACUGUCUCUCUUUACAUUUCUUAGCACUACAAAAAAUGAAGAUGACCUGAAAUGGUUAAUUUGCUAAUUUUAUUUUGCAGAUACUUUUAUUCAGACGGUGGAAUAUGGCAAGACCUAUUUGCUUAGGAUCAUCAAUGCAGCUCUAACAAAUGAGCUCUUCUUUGCGAUAGCGAAACAUACGUUGACAGUGGUGGAGGUUGUUGCAGUCUACACUAAACCCUUCGCAACCACUUCCAUUAUGAUUUCUCCUGGACAAACCACUACUGUUUUAAUGACUGCAAACAAAGUUCCAGACUUCACAGGCAUGUUUGUCAUGGCAGCAAGGCCUUAUCUUACCUCUGUGUUCCCCUCCAACAACUCCACCACAAUCGGCUUCUUGAGGUACAAAAAUGCAAGGACCUGGAAAGGAAAAUCCCCAGUUGAUCCGAGCAGCCUUAAACUUCACAACCUUCCAGCAAUGGAAGACACCGCAUUUGCCACAAAAUUUUCGGACAAGAUUAAAAGUCUUGCAUCUCCUCAGUACCCUUGUAAUGUGCCUAAAACAAUUGACAAACGAGUGAUAACAACUAUAAGUCUUAACCUUCAAGACUGUCCAGAAAACAAAACCUGCUCGGGUUUCAAGGGCAAGAGUUUCUUUGCUUCAAUGAACAACCAAUCAUUCGUUCGCCCUUCCAUCUCAAUAUUGGAAAGCUAUUACAAGAACCUCACCAAAGGUAGUUUCUCCUCUGGUUUCCCAGAAAAACCACCAAAUAAUUUUGAUUAUACUGGUGGGGAUUCAUUUACUCAAAACAUGA
rnacentral:lncRNA from 1 species